rnacentral:rRNA from 1 species
UACGUAGGCAGCGAGCGUUGUUCGGAGUUACUGGGCGUAAAGCGUGCGUAGGCGGUGGUGCAAGUCUGGUGUGAAAUCUCCCGGCUUAACUGGGAGGGUGCGCCGGAAACUGGGCCGCUGGAGUACGGGAGAGGCAAGCGGAAUUCCAGGUGUAGCGGUGAAAUGCGUAGAUAUCUGGAGGAACACCCGUGGUGCAGACGGCUUGCUGGACCGCGACUGACGCUGAGGCACGAAAGCGUGGGUAGCAAACAGG